ACCCCUCUGGCUCAUGACUCAACAAGAUGUAACCCAUUUCUGGCACUGCGGCCUUUACUUGGCUGCUGCUUUGCCUGAAUGGUGACGUUCUUUGUCAUUCAGAACCUUUUCAGCUGCAUGAGGUCGAUUUAUCAGCUGUAUGAAUUCCUGUCAGAUGUCAGAUGUAAAAGUCCCUAGGAAGGAGGACUGUUGGCACUCUACAUGGCUCCUUCCCUCAAAUGAUGGUGUCCUUUGCUGUACGGAAGCUUCUUAGUCCACAAGGUCCCAUUUGGUUAUUGCUCAGGAUAUCAGGUCUUCUCUUGAUCCACUUGAACUAGAGUCUUUGUUUCGCUGAGGCUAUGGAACCAGAAUGUGAAUAUCGCCAGGAAAGCAAGAUGGUGACUAUGCUCCUGACACAUACGAGGGACCAUGAACCUGGUGACCUGUGAGGAAGAAAUCUGUUUCUGUGCUCAUCGGAAGAAUACAGAAUGUGGAAAAUUAGCUGGGGAAAAUCCAUUACUGUGUAUACAUUAUGAACCCAAAUUGCUGAUAACAGAGCAAAGGAGCAAUGGAGAGUGUGCAAAUCCCAUGGGGACAUCCAUCCACUUGGACAGGCCACUAUCUUAUCUUGAAACUCCACCUUGAACUGGAGCUAUGCAGAGGAUCUGAACCCCAGGAAGACACUGCUGUAGUCUAGUGCCUAGAAGAAGUCUGUUAUCAUUGAACCUGAUGACCUGUUUGAUCUCUAGGACCUCCACCAAUGUGCUCAAGCUCCAGGAAGUUUCAUAUCUGAGAAGUUCUGGAAACAUCUGCUGGGAUGGCCUACAGACAACCACAUAUUGUUGAAAACAAAACAAAGGUUACCAAACAGUUUGUCUUCAUGAUCAACACAAUUAUUUUCUUACAAAUAUUAAGUAAUACAUUUUACGAAUUGAUUAUGAACCUGGAAAAGUGGACAAGAUGCUACUAUUUGGAGAACAACAG
rnacentral:lncRNA from 1 species